ensembl:lncRNA
AGAUUUCAGUGUCUGACAUCAUAUUGUAAGACUGCCUUUCGUACGGAGAAGAAAAUGAGGUUAAAACAUUAUCAAAAAUGUUUAGUGACAAAGAUCUCAGUGAUGGCAAUUUGUCCAGAAAAUGGAAGUGUAUGGUUGUUAACUGCUACGGGUGCUAAGUAUUCCCCCAAGGCUUCUUGGGUCAGCAGCUUCUCUGGCAAGUGCAAGUUUGUGCUCAUGAUAUGAAUGCUGUGGUGUGUGAUUGCUCUUCUGUGGUAUUCAUGGAGCUGCUGCCGGAGUCACGCAGUUUGCCACUGUUACUGCUACCUCUCCGUGUAGCAGAAAGAAUACCUUACUCAAAAUGAGCUAACUGUCAUUACAUCAUUGUUUUCAUGAACCACUGAUGAGAGCAGUACAGUUUGGACCAGUAACAAAUCAGCUUUUAUCAGGAGGAUACGCUAGGUGAGCUCUCGGACAGAUCCCAUAUAAGGGAUUCUGAAAAGAUAGCAAAGAACUCAGCAGCUUCAUUCCAGCAACGUAAAUCAUCAGGAAUAUGGACUUACUGCCUUUCAAUUUGUUUCCAAUGUCAGAUGAACUGGUAGAGGAAGGGCAAGCUUGGAAGAGAUUUGUUUUCAAGUGGAAGACUCCUUGCUGACAGGCCAGAGCGAUUUUAUUCUAGGAAUUUAUUCAUUUACUUAUUUUAUGUCAGUCCAAACUAGAUUUUGUGAGUCCCAAACUAAAAUCUUCCCAGUCCACAUGUACAUACCCAUCUCCACAUUUGAAAAGGACAGUUCUGUGUGCUCUGAAAAAAGCAUUUUUUAUUUUCAUGUAAUGUUACUAGUUUUUAGGCGUGAUCUUUUUUAGUGCUGAACACCACUUGCAAAAUAGAAUUCAUAUUUAAU